AGAGUUUGAUCAUGGCUCAGAACGAACGCUGGCGGCGUGGAUAAGACAUGCAAGUUGAGCGGAACAUUCCGGGUAGCAAUAUUGGGGAUGUUUAGCAGCGAAAGGGUGCGUAACACGUGGGUAAUUUGCCGCAGAGACCGGGACAACUCGCUGAAAGGCGAGCUAAUACCGGAUGUGAUCACCGGGUGGCAUCACCGGGUGAUGGAAGCUGGGGACCGCAAGGCCUGGCACUCUGCGAUAAGCCCGCGGCCUAUCAGCUAGUUGGCGGGGUAACGGCCCACCAAGGCGAAGACGGGUAGCUGGUCUGAGAGGACGACCAGCCACACUGGAACUGAGACACGGUCCAGACACCUACGGGUGGCAGCAGUCGAGAAUUUUUCUCAAUGGGGGAAACCCUGAAGGAGCGACGCCGCGUGGGGGAUGAAGGUCUUCGGAUUGUAAACCCCUGUCAUCUGCGAACAAACCCCAUUCAUGAACAGUGGAUGGGCUGAUAGUAGCGGAAGAGGAAGGGACGGCUAACUCUGUGCCAGCAGCCGCGGUAAUACAGAGGUCCCAAGCGUUGUUCGGAUUCACUGGGCGUAAAGGGUGCGUAAGCGGUGGGGCUAGUCUGAUGUGAAAGCUCCGGGCCCAACCCGGAAAUGGCAUUGGAAACUGCCCUGCUAGAGGUUUGGAGGGGGGACUGGAAUACUUGGUGUAGCAGUGAAAUGCGUAGAGAUCAAGUGGAACACCAGUGGCGAAGGCGAGUCCCUGGACAAGACCUGACGCUGAGGCACGAAAGCCGGGGGAGCAAACAGGAUUAGAUACCCUAGUAGUCC
rnacentral:rRNA from 1 species